GAUCCCUAUCCUCAGGGAGCUUACAGUCUAGAGUGGGAGACAGACAUUAAAAUAAAUUAUAGAUCAUAGAUCAAGGAAAUGGCAGGCUAUAAGGAGAGGUACAUGUUUGUUCAUAUUAAUGUCUGACUCCCUCUCUAGAUUGAAAGCUCCUUGUGGGCAGGAAUC
rnacentral:pre_miRNA from 1 species